rnacentral:rRNA from 1 species
CGGGUGAGUAAUGCAUCGGAACGUGCCCAUCGAUGGGGGAUAACUGCGCGAAAGCGUUGCUAAUACCGCAUACGACCUACGGGUGAAAGCAGGGGACCGCAAGGCCUUGCGUCGAUGGAGCGGCCGAUGCCGGAUUAGCUAGUUGGUGAGGUAAAGGCUCACCAAGGCGACGAUCCGUAGCUGGUCUGAGAGGACGACCCAGCCACACUGGGACUGAGACACGGCCCAGACUCCUACGGGAGGCAGCAGUGGGGAAUCUUGGACAAUGGGCGAAAGCCUGAUCCAGCAAUGCCGCGUGUGGGAAGAAGGCCCUCGGGUUGUAAACCACUUUUGGCGGGAAAGAAAUGGUCUGUGCUAAUACCACGGAUUGAUGACGGUACCCGCAGAAUAAGCACCGGCUAACUACGUG